rnacentral:rRNA from 1 species
AAGUCGUAACAAGGUUUCCGUAGGUGAACCUGCGGAAGGAUCAUUACUGAAGAUACUAGGGUUUUAGAGACUACGUUAAAAUAAAGCGUGUGCUCGGCCCUUACUCUUUCAUCCACACACCUCUGUGCACUAUGGGACGCAAGUCCCCUUUUUAUAUUUAAAAACCAAGUAUAUGCAUGUAUUACACUCUACGGAGUAAUGUACAACUUUCAACAACGGAUCUCUUGGCUUUCGCAUCGAUGAAGAACGCAGCGAACGUGCGAAACGUAAUGUGAAUUGCAGAAUUCAGUGAAUCAUCGAAUCUUUGAACGCAUCUUGCGCUCCUUGGCAUUCCGAGGAGCAUGCCUGUUUGAGUGUCGUGGAAUACCGUCAAUUUCAAUCUUUUUGUUUGAAAUUGGAUUUGGACGUUUGUUGUGGCAACCCGACUCGUCCUAAAUGCAUUAGCGAAUCUGCCUUGAUCACGCACAAUGUGAUAAAAAAAGAACAUUGUUUAUGGUCAAAUAGGGUCGCUUCUAAUAGUCGAGAGACAAAUAGUCAUGUCAUUUGACCUCAAAUCAGGUAGGACUACCCGCUGAACUUAA